AGCCCGUGACUGAAGCCCCGGUAAACGGUGGCCGUAACAAUAGCGGUCCUAAGGUAGCGAAAUUCCUUGUCGGGUAAGUUCCGACCUGCACGAAUGGUGUAACCAUGGCCACGCUGUCUCCACCCGAGACUCAGUGAAAUUGAAAUCGCAGUGAAGAUGCUGUGUACCCGCACCUAGACGGAAAGACCCCGUGAACCUUUACUAUAGCUUCACAGUGAACUUUGAGCAUGUUUGUGUAGGAUAGCUGGGAGGCUUUGAAGCUGCGUCGCCAGGCGUGGUGGAGCCGUUGUUGAAAUACCAGCCUUUGUUUGAUCGGGGCCUAACCUCUAACGAGGGACAGUGCGUGGUGGGUAGUUUGACUGGGGUGGUCGCCUCCAAAAGAGUAACGGAGGCUUCUAAAGGUGCCCUCAGCACGCUUGGUAACCGUGCGUAGAGUGCAAUGGCACAAGGGCGCUUGACUGUGAGACAUACAGGUCGAACAGGUACGAAAGUAGAGCAUAGUGAUCCGGUGGUUCCGCAUGGAAGGGCCAUCGCUCAAAGGAUAAAAGGUACGCCGGGGAUAACAGGCUGAUCUCCCCCAAGAG
rnacentral:rRNA from 1 species